rnacentral:rRNA from 1 species
GACAGAGGGUGCAAACGUUGCUCGGAAUUACUGGGCGUAAAGGGUGCGUAGGCGGCCUAUUAAGUCAGUGCUGAAAUAUCCCGGCUUAACCGGGAGGGUGGCAUUGAUACUGAUGGGCUUGAGUAAAGUUGAGGUAGGCGGAAUUGACGGUGUAGCGGUGAAAUGCUUAGAUAUCGUCAAGAACACCUAUUGCGAAGGCAGCUUACUAAGCUUUAACUGACGCUGAUGCACGAAAGUGUGGGGAUCAAACAGG